CCUACGGGAGGCAGCAGUGGGGAAUAUUGGACAAUGGGCGAAAGCCUGAUCUAGCCAUGCCGCGUGUGUGAAGAAGGUCUUAGGGUUGUAAAGCUCUUUCGCACGCGACGAUGAUGACGGUAGCGUGAGAAGAAGCCCCGGCUAACUUCGUGCCAGCAGCCGCGGUAAUA
rnacentral:rRNA from 1 species